rnacentral:rRNA from 1 species
UGGCCGUAAACGAUGUGGACUUGGUGUUGGAUGGCUCCGAGCUGCUCCAGUGCCGAAGGGAAGCUGUUAAGUCCACCGCCUGGGAAGUACGGUCGCAAGACUGAAACUUAAAGGGAAUUGGCCGGGGGGAGGCACCACAACGCGUGGAGCCUGCGGUUUAAUUGGAUUCAACGCCGGACAUCUCACCAGGGCGGACAGCAGAAUGUAUGGCCAGGUUGAUGACCUUUGCUUGACAAGGCUGAGAGGAGGUGCAUGGCGUAGUCGUGU